UUAAUGGAAAGGCCAUUCGUGAGAAAUAGUGGAAAUAUCGUUGAGCCUAUAGGCUACAGCUAUUUAAGACCGAAGCAUUUAACAAACAACAAGAGUUAACAAAAUAGCAUGGCUAUUAAUUAUUACUAGAAACUGAAAAGUGUCGCCCCAAAACAGGGAACGUUUACAUAUCAGUAUAAAACCGACAGAUGCAAACAGCAGUCUGUAUAUUAAGGAUUAGAUAUAACUUAAUUUGUAUUACAAUUACCCUGUUUAUUCUAUAUUAUUUAAUCAUAAUAGUAUGUUUUUUAAAGUAAUCUUUUUGCCCCAAAAUGAAUUUAGUUUAACUGUAAAAUUGCGUUACCCCCACAGUGUGAAUCAUCCUAGUUUGUAUUAUUGUGCAUUUCCUCAUUAUUUUUAAUAUGGUCUCGAGUCUCCAGAGAUUUGAGAUCCUUCAGUUUUAGACGUGAUGAAUGAAAGUCUGUUUCCAGGGUUUUUGCAUCCCAGACUAUAAUUGAAGACAAUAACUGCAAUGACUUUCCCAAUUAGGCUUGAGGUUGGAGUUAAGUUAGAGGGACUGUCAGUUUAAGCUAUGGGCAAUGGCUUUAUUGCUCACUAACCAUCAUUUCUUUAGAGCCCAUGUGCUAAUUACUUUGGAUGGUCCCAGAGACGGAGAUUAUAAAUCCAUUAGCACCCAAACCCUCGUGGUUCCACAGUGCAAACACUGUAAUUUUGUAGUACACCCAAAAAACAAACUUUAAGUACCAGCAGCUAGAUGAAGGGAAACAGAUUUUCAACAGUGUGUGUACUUCUUAGGGAUCCACUGUGAAGGGAAGCCCUGCGUAUAUCAAUCAGCAGCUAAACCGAAACACAGUGUAAACUAAGCAGGAAAGAAAAUGAACUGACAGGGGAAAAUGUCUUAUCAGUGGCCGGUGGUUAUGUUUAAACACGACAUGUUUAUAUUACCGUGUCAACUAAAUGCAGCAUUGUAAUCAUAAAUGAUCAACACAACACAUUUUUAAUAUUGUGGUUUCUAUUUUUAUGCAAGUUUGGAAAAUCAUUUAUUCUUAUUCCCAAAGUGCACGGUAAAUAUCCAGGGAGCGACGCAGCCUGAAGGAAUGAAGUGAAUUAAAAUAAGACAUACUACCUGUUUGACUGCGUUUAAAGAACGCAAUACAAAAACCGGGACCCAAACGGGGGUGCGUGUGAAGGCAUCUCACCCUUAAAGUAAUUUAUUUCAGGGAAACCGGAGGGCAAAGGUGGAAUUCUUGAGAAAUUCAACAAGGAUAAGGGAGCUUUAGGAAUUCUGCACGCAGAUUACCUUUCAUCCCAUCCUCACAUUAUCCGACAACACACAGUAGAAAUAUAGCUCAGCGACAAAAGAGCGAGAUUACCCUCCGACACAGAAGAGUGCAAAACAAUUUUUAAGAAGUAUUGCGAUUAUAGGGGAGCGAACAAGGGGAGAGAGAGAGAGAGAGAGAGAGAGAGAGAGAGAGAGAGAGAGAGAGAGAGAGAGCAGGAGAGAGGAAGAGGGGGGUCCAGUAGAGUGGUGAUUCCCUGUGUGCUUUCAAAGGGGGAGACAAAAAAAAAAAGAAGCUCGCCGUUCACAAAGUGUCCUGUCACUGUUGUAGUGCUGUAGUGUAUGGGUGGACAUCUAAAAAGAGUUCACUCAUACAUAUUUAUGGUGAGUAAAUUUACAUCAAACACAAUGUGAAACUGAGCAAAGGAUCACAGAUUAGUCCUCUUUUGGUGACAGAUUGUUGUUUACACUGUUGGUUAUGAUGCCUUGCAAUGAUCACUGACACUGGGUCAGAGUUUGACCCCCUUCUGGUUUUAACUUGUUGGUUGUUUUGGUUUGUGAAUAAAAGAGUGACAUCACAUUAGCCCUGCAUUAUAUUUCCUCAAUUUUCUAACCCUAAAACCAACACACAGCAGGGGCUUAAUUAGAAAUGUAGUGUAGCUGAACCAUCCACAUGCUGGAGCUGAGAAUGACUGAGCACAUUGGAGCAGUCUAGUUUACAGUACAGAGAAAAAAUGUAAUCAUUUCCGCACAAACUCUCCGAGUCUGUUUGAGUGAAACACACAUUCAUUUGUCAACCUUGAAAAUAUUAUGUGACAUAAAUGAAUAGCUGCUAUUAAAGUUUUACUUUUGUACCGUCUUAAACACCUGUAAAUAAUGUUUAAUUCAAUGCUAAAAUAUUAGCCAAGACAGCAAUUGUGUGUUUCAAUAUAUCACACAUUUCUAAAUGAAAACACUAUUAAAACAUAAUAUUUAAACUAAAAGAUUUCCCUCCCUCUCUUUCACACCUCACUCACGGACACAACUCUCUUGACAUUUUGUAUAUUUUAUUUGAAAGGUGUCUGGUGUUUGCACGUGUGGGCACAUGUGUGUAAAAAGACAGUGAAGUGAAGGUGUGAAGGUGGCCUGUGUUUAGUGUCCAGAACUGGCAGAUUGUGACCUUAUCAAUGUGAAACUCUUAAGAUAAAUUAUUCAUAGCACCUGUUUGAUGUCUCCGGCCAAAGAAUGACAAAGGUGUAAGAUUUAAGAUCCAUCUCAAAAAUCCAUGAAUAUCAGCCGCUGUGCUCCCUUGUCCCCUUUUUUAAAAGCAGAAAAAGAGGGAGAUAGGCUGCAUUUUAAACCACAAAAAUGAACAAUUUGUUUCCUAACAGGGGGUGCAGAAGAGAGCGGCCAGGGAACAGCCAUAGAUACAGUACAGUAGCAGAGAGCAACAUGGCGGCCAGGUGUUCAGAAACACAGCGGGACGUGUCGGUGUGGUGCAAGGACUGACACUGGGAUGAGAUGUAAUUUAUUGCGAGUGCUGUUUGAUUAUGGGACGUUGAUGGUGAUACCACUGCUUAGUAUGAGCGUUGGGCUCACUUGACAUGACAGCGCGGCACUGACAGGCUUAUUGUCCUUAAUCAUAUACGUGUGUGGUAAAUAUAACAUCAACUGUAAAUGAAUAGUCACUCUCAGAAUAGAUUUUAAGAGGCUGCCCUUUCUGAAUUCUAUUAGUCUGUUCAGCUUUGUUGUACAUUACAGCUUUUCUAAUCAGAAAUGAAUCCUAGCAUCCUGGAACUCAAAUCAUUUCUCAAUGAUUUGCUUUGGAAAAAGACCAUAGUAUGCUUUUUGGGAACAUUUACAUAGCUAGAGGUCAACAUAAUACGCUAUAAAUAAAACAAAUAAGGAUGGAUAUUAAUGAUGAUAUAUACAAAUGUACUGCGCAGGAGCUUGAAUUAUGUGAGCGUGCUGAAGGAGAGGUAAGGAGACACUCUCAAAGGCGCUUUCACACAUGUUUGUGUGUUUACUUGACUGUGUGUGUGUGUGUGUGUGUGAUAGCCAAGUCAAUUUCCCCUCAGAUGUUCCCUUUGACCUUUGACCCCACAGUUGGGGUCAAGCCCUGACAAAUGAGAUGGUCGAGUUCUGGCCAGAACUGCAAACAUUCCACAACAAUCUUCUGUCCUCCCUCUCCCCUCUCUUCAUAUCCGUCAUUCCUCACCCCUUCACUCCUCUCCGUAUGUCUCCUCCACGAGAGGAGGGAGAAAGUUCUCAUUACACACAAACAUGUUUUAUUAAAUUGGCUGUGGGAAUCCUACAGCACACACCCAUCAAAUUAAGAAUUACGGCAUCGGUUAAAUUUAAUAUCCCUAACAUCUGCCUUGUUUACAAAAGGAAAGAAAACAAAAAGAGAAGCUGUGUUAAAGACUUGGAUAUUAUAGCCCUGCACUUUGAAAGCACACUGUGUGUGUUUGCAAAGCUUGUCAGUGAUGUCAAAGAUGAGAAAUGUUGCAGUGUGGUUUUGUACACACACUGCUGGCUCGAGCAUUUCCGGCAACAUUUCUCACUCUGCCUCCCUCACACCAUCCGCUCUGCUGCAAUAUCCCCACAUUUUUCCAUCCUUUCACUUCUUCCCCCUCCCUCCCUCUCCGUUCGCCUUCUCUCCGCUCUCUGACCACUCUUGCUCCUGUUACCCUUCCUCUCUACUGCAACCCCCUGCUCAAUCUCAGCCUCUCCCUCCCUUCGUUCUCCUCCCAGCACAUUCACUCACUCCCCCCCUUCUCUCAUUUUCCUCCACCCACUAUUUUCUCUGAUUUUCGAGCCUGUCGUUCCACAGAAUGCUACCACCUGUGUCUUUAGAGGGAAAAGAAGGAGGGGGGGGGGGCCUAUUGGUAUUCCUCUUUGGAAAGCUGGUUAAGGUAAGUGGCACCCUCUAUUACAAUGACACGGCAAAUAAUGGUGCUGCCUGUUGUGUUUCUGCAUUAACUUUUUUUUCAUGAAAUGACCCCGGCUUCCUAAGCAUCACCACCCUCCAUCAGAGCUCUAGCUACAAGCCACUGCUGUAAAAACACAGACAGUCACCAUCGAUGAACGUCAGCAGAGCAACCAUAGUGCCACAUAGGAGCCUGGAGACCAACAAAGCUGGUUGAUAAAGUAACACUGAGUGGAUCAUGCUCUUGAACUUGCUUUCAUAAUGAUGUAAUAUUACUAAAAGGAGAUGCAACACAGCAAAGAUCUUAAUAAAAACACAUCAAUCUCAA